rnacentral:rRNA from 1 species
CCUACGGGCGGCAGCAGUGAGGAAUAUUGGUCAAUGGGCGCGAGCCUGAACCAGCCAAGUAGCGUGAAGGAUGACUGCCCUACGGGUUGUAAACUUCUUUUAUAAAGGAAUAGAGUGAGUCACGUGUGCCUUUUUGUAUGUACUUUAUGAAUAAGGAUCGGCUAACUCCGUGCCAGCAGCCGCGGUAAUACGGAGGAUCCGAGCGUUAUCCGGAUUUAUUGGGUUUAAAGGGAGCGUAGAUGGGUUGUUAAGUCAGUUGUGAAAGUUUGCGGCUCAACCGUAAAAUUGCAAUUGAUACUGGCAGUCUUGAGUACAGUUGAGGUAGGCAGAAUUCGUGGUGUAGCGGUGAAAUGCUUAGAGAUCACGAAGAAUUCCGAUGGCGAAGGCAGCUUACUAAACUGCCACUGACAUUGAUGCGCGAAAGUGUGGGGAGCAAACAGGAUUAGAUACCCUAGUAGUC